rnacentral:rRNA from 1 species
AAAGCUCUGUUGUUAGGGAAGAACAAGUACCGUUCGAAUAGGGCGGUACCUUGACGGUACCUAACCAGAAAGCCACGGCUAACUACGUGCCAGCAGCCGCGGUAAUACGUAGGUGGCAAGCGUUGUCCGGAAUUAUUGGGCGUAAAGGGCUCGCAGGCGGUUUCUUAAGUCUGAUGUGAAAGCCCCCGGCUCAACCGGGGAGGGUCAUUGGAAACUGGGGAACUUGAGUGCAGAAGAGGAGAGUGGAAUUCCACGUGUAGCGGUGAAAUGCGUAGAGAUGUGGAGGAACACCAGUGGCGAAGGCGACUCUCUGGUCUGUAACUGACGCUGAGGAGCGAAAGCGUGGGGAGCGAACAGGAUUAGAUACCCUGGUAGUCCACGCCGUAAACGAUGAGUGCUAAGUGUUAGGGGGUUUCCGCCCCUUAGUGCUGCAGCUAACGCAUUAAGCACUCCGCCUGGGGAGUACGGUCGCAAGACUGAAACUCAAAGGAAUUGACGGGGGCCCGCACAAGCGGUGGAGCAUGUGGUUUAAUUCGAAGCAACGCGAAGAACCUUACCAGGUCUUGACAUCCUCUGACAAUCCUAGAGAUAGGACGUC